rnacentral:tRNA from 1 species
UCCCUGGUGGUCCAGUGGUUAAGACGUUGUUCUCCCAAUGCAGGGUGCAUGGGUUCAAUCCCUGGUCAGGGAA